UCCCAUACUGCAAUGCGUACAUUUAAUUCUUAGAAGUGAAAUGGGGUGUCACUGUGACAGAGCUUAAACGCGUUUGCUUGGUUUUACCUCUUCCAGCGACAAGGGCAUGGCGAUCCGACUUCAAAACAUCCCCAUUGAAAAUUUAUCAGCUGAGGAAACCUAAGAAUAACCAUUUGAAGAAAUAUGAACACCACCCGAACGAACAUUAACCACUAAUAAAGGAAGAAGAUGCAGAGUAAAGGGGCGGCUUGCAGCAAUGGUUCAGCCUAGUGCACUCAAGCUGUUUGAUAAAAUGCAUGCAAGAAUUUACACUCUCAGAAAAUGGCUACGGGAGUACUUCGAGGGCUCCCAACCUCCAAUCUGCAAUAGCAAGUUCUUACAAAUUCUAGAUGCCUUCUGUGUUGUUUUUCCUUUCCUAUAUGGACAUAGCCCAUGACUAACAGAACCAUUGAAACAGCGACAAGUGUAAUGUAAAAACAGAAAGGAAAAAAGGCAGUUUGUAUAAAACACACCGUUUGGACAUGACCCAAACGCUGUGUUUAAUUAAAGGACAAAAUGCAUAGCUUUAUUAAAGGGAUCUUCACACGGUGCCGUUUCUUCCAAGCUUGAAAGCCCUUCAUGCACCUACGUACGACGCCGUUGUCUCCCAUUCUUCUUACAGGUUCACUUCACUUCACUUCCUACACACUUCAUUCACGGACGGACUCUCCCCAUUUUCUCCUCAACUUAGGGCUAAGUCACUGGAUUCUUGACAAACUCCCCUCCAUCAAAGCACCUUGCCCACAAGGUGUGGGUAAAGGCCUUGUAAACGCCACAGCAACUCCCACGUGCUUUCCUCCGUUGGUAGACCCACCCAUUUUACGAGAACUUCGGUGGCAGUGAAGGAAAUAUUGGGACUUGGUGGCCGAGCUUCCUCUUUAAGCAUGAUACAUGGAAAGUCGGGUGUAUCUUAGAAGACUCCGGAAGCUUUAAUCUGACAUAACAUACGUACCAGGAUUCGAAUUUCAUCUUUCAAGCCACAAAGAAAACAGCUCAAUUUAUGAUUAUCUGAGAGAGCUCGUAAGCGGUUGGCCAACCUUUCAAAUUGGCUCAUGUAAGACUCGACUGUAGUGGUCUGUUUUAGCCUCAUCAAUGCCUCCAUUGGAUCGUCGUAAGUCGUGGGUCCAAAACGCAGCAGUAAUGCUCUGGAAAAAGUGUCCCAAUCACGGCAUAAUCCCCCAUCGAUGACAUUUUCAAACCAUACGAGGGUGUCUCCUUCCAUAUGGUAAGAGGCCAUCAAAAGUCGUUGAGACAUUGGUGUUUGGUGGAACUCGAAGUAGUGGUUGGCUUUAAAAAGCCAUGCAGCUGGAUUAAGUCCUUGGAAAUGGGGAAAAUCCAACUUGACCCCUCUAUUGUUCAUUCUUCAUGGGUCAUGGUUUUCCACUUCAAAGUUGGCUUCAUGGUUAAGAGGUGGAGGGGGUGGUGGAUGGUGCUAUCGGUUCAUCAAGGAAGAAGAUGCAAAGUAAAGGGGCGGCUUGCAGCAAUGGUUCAACCUAGUGCACUCAAGCUGUUUGAUAAAAUGCAUGCAAGAAUUUACACUCUCAAAAAAUGGCUACAGGAGUACUUCGAGGGCUCCCAACCUCCAAUCUGCAAUAGCAAGUUCUUACAAAUUCCAUAUGCCUUUUGUGUUGUUUUUCCUUUCCUAUAUGGACAUAGCCCAUGACUAACAGAACCAUUGAAACAGCGACAAGUGUAAUGUAAAAAUAGAAAGGAAAAAAGGCAAUUUGUAUAAAACACACCGUUUGGACAUGACCCCAAACGCUGUGUUUAAUUAAAGGACAAAACGCAUAGCUUUAUUAAAGGGAUCUUCACACGGUGCCGUUUCUUCCAAGCUUGAAAGCCCUUCAUGCACCUAUGUACGACGCCGUUGUCUCCCAUUCUUCUUACAGGUUCACUUCACUUCACUUCCUGCACACACUUCACUUCCUUCACUUCCGUUUCAGCUUCAUUCACGGACAGACUCUCCCCAUUUUCUCCUCAACUUAGGGCUAAGUCACUGGAUUCUUGACAGUGUACCAAACAAACACUCCAAGAACAAGAUUUGUUUUUAAUAUUUUCUUUUCCUCAUUUCAUCCGAUGCAAAAACAUUUUAAAAAGGGAAGGAUACAAUUCCUUGAUGACAACCAUCUCCAGCAGAUUCCUUCUAUUAUGUUACUUGGCUUCUGGCGAGACUCAACCAAACUUCAAAUGCAAUGUAGACAGGACCAAGCGAGAGGCCAGAGAUCGAGAUACAGAGAAUGUUGGAGUAUGCAAGUUGAUCGUGGAAAAGAAAAAGAAGAUGCAGAGCAGAAUGCGGGGUGAUGCUUUGAGCUUGGAUCUGAGACAGGGAGACAGAUGACGAUAUUUCGUUAUGACCAUUUUGGAUUCUAGUGCUCUAUUCAUGGGUGGACGGACGGUUUUCCCUGGACUUCCAGGAAAUUUCCAGCGACAGCUAGUCGUUGAUCAUAAUAAAUAUAAAAAAAAUAAUAAUAAUAAUUCUUUUUGCAGUCCUAAUUCGGGACAUUUCAUUUAAGUGAGAGUAAACAGCUGCGUAUUAAAAUCAUAUCUCCUGCAUUUUCUUCCUCUUUAAGCCCCUUCACUCUUUAAGCCCCAAGUCCCUCGUCCCUCAAACUUCACUCUAGCCCCAAGUCCCUAUGUGUGUUCGCCGUCGCCCCCUUCCCCCUUCGCCUUUUGCCUUUCACCGUCGCCCCUUCACCGUUCCUCAUCCUUUCAGAACAACUGAAUCUGCCCAAAACCCCUUCACCGUUCCUCCUCCUUGUGGGCUAUUUUGCAUCAGAAAUGUUAAUAGAAGAAAGAAAUAAUCUUGUGAUUUUCGUGCAUGUCUUGUUUAUUUUUCAUGUUCAGAUUUGUUGAGCUUGGGUUGAGCUUGAGUUUGGGAUGGGCUUAAAGUUGGAUUUUCUUCCCAUUAAUCGGUGCCAAAGAAGAGCACUGUAAUGAAGAGAGCAUCAAACAGAAAAUUAAAAAGAAAAAAAAAAUUCUUAGUAGUAGUUCAGAAAGUAUCAAACACAUUUCCUUGCAUUUAGACUCUAUUCUAUGUUCGGUUGAAAAUGAAAAUUAAAUUCUCAAAUCUGUAGUAGUCUGGAUUUGGUUCAAAGGUAGUAGUGUUGAGUAAACCAUAGUUUCCACCAAUAAAACUGUGUCUGCAUAAUCUGUAUAGUAUUUAGAAUUUUUACUUUACAUAGUGGUUGCUGCAGUAAGGAUUGGGAUUUUUGAAUGUGAUUCUGGGGAGGAAUUUCAGUCUUUGGCAAUUAGUUCAGAUGGCAAGUUUCUCAUCAAGGUAAAAUUGUUGCAUAAAGGGUCUCUUGUUUAAAUGGUUACUAACUACAAAGGUGCCAACAUUUAUGUAUUUAAUCUGAUGCUGACCCAAUACUUGGCCAAUGUAAAUAUAAGUUGCAGUAUUAUGAGAAAAUUGGAAAGCCUAUUUCAAAUUCUGGAAAGGUGCUCAUGACUCAGAGAAAAUUGCAAUAAUGCUUGUAGAAGUUGUUUUUUAUUUUUUAUAUAAGUAAUGCUUGUAGAAGUUGUUUUUUGUUUUUUAUAUAAGUAAUGCUUGUAGACGUUGUUAGAGCAAGCAUCCCUUUGAAAUGGAUGGAAGGCAGAUUAUUGUGAUUACUGUCAAAUGCAUGCACCCGGAAUGAUUAAAAAAAAAAUUUUACUUUUUGUUUGUUUGUUUCGCAUAGAAACAUGAAAAAAUAGAAUUUUUCUUGGUUGUUUGUUUAUGUAGUUAUUGCUUGGAUGUAUGGUCCGUAACUUCUACCUGAACAUGUUUCUUGGUUUUGUGAGGAUUGUGAAUCAAAGUAGUCAAAUGCACGCAUCCAGAAUGAUUAAAAAAGAAAAAAGCACCCAGAACAACUUCGUAAUACAAGCACCGGGAACAACCUGUGGACCAGAACCAAACUGCAGAGGAGAAGAAUCUGGUGGAGGAGGAGGCUGCCAAUUGUUCUUACUUCAUUCUUGAGGAGAAAAUGCAGGAGGUCUGGUUUUUACCAAAGCAAUACUCUUGAGGAGAAAAUGCAGAGGUCUAGUUUCUACCAAAGCAAUACGCAAUCUUUUACCUCACUUAAAUGAAACGGAAUCGCUUCUUUUAAGUGAGGUCAGCAUAUGCAGUCUUGAAUUGGGACUGUACGUAGUAGUUCCCUAAAACUCUGAUAUUACGGAUCGACACAGGCCCAUGAAUCUUUCUAGACGUACGUCGUUGUCGCUGUCGCCGUUGCCAAACGCAAUCGCUUCCAUCCAUUACCAACUUUAAAAAAAUUCGAACUAAUUGGGUUAUGUUAUAAACUUAUUUGUAUAACCAUC